GAGCGCUUUACCACGCCUACCUCUUCUCAGACUAAUGCAAGCAGAAUGUUUGCAAUCCGAUAAGGUCAUGAAAGAUCAGCUCCCACCGUGUUUUUUCAAUCGAUAAGGGCACCUACUCAUGGCAGGAAAAAAAAGCUGAGUGUCUUCCACCUCCGAUGCCUAAGGCGGAUCUUUAGAAUAAGAUGGCAAGAUAAAAUAACCAACGAGGAAGUGCUACGAAAAGCAGGGUGCCAGGACAUCCGCUGUGUUAUCAGCAGCAGACGCCUUGGCUAGCUUGGCCACGUUCGUAGAAUGCCAGUAGGUCGACUUCCACAAGACAUUCAGGAUGGCGAUUUAACAGAAGGCAGGAGAGCCGCUGGUCGCCCACUUUUACGGUAUACGGAUGUAUGCAAACUGUCGCAGCUAAUUUAGUUGCAUAGUAAAUAUGUUGUCUAUCUAAGGGCGCCGCUUUCAUCAAUAGGCGAUGACGUCAUUUUGAUAUUUUAUUUCUUUUUUGUGUACUAGCUGCUCUCCACUUGUCGCUUCGUCGUAAUUGUUCAUAUGACGUCAACAACUUUUCUUUUUGGUCGUUUGGUGCAUUCCCGCCAUAUUGCUCGACUGAAGCAGGCUGUAGCUUUUGAGUUCUUGAAUGGAUCUCAUUCACACCAAUCGUAAACAAACAACAUUUUGCACGUGGUGCUCUAUAGCUUCUAUAUAAUUUACGAUCUCAUGUUUAAUUCAUGAUGGUUGUCACGUGAAGUUUUUUUCGUUGUUUUAUCAAUAAGAUCACGUGACUAAAUGUUGUUUGUUUACGAUUGGUGAAUGAGGUCCAUUCUCAUUGUGUCUUCGGUACUGGAUAGCCUUAGCGUUGGCCUUGGUAUGUAUUCUUGAAGGAUUAUCUUGACCCCUUUUUAGGGUGAGUUUUAUUUCACAAUUUGUAACGUUAUUCUUAAUAUUGUUGUAAUCCUGCCUUGCACCAGUGCUUGAGGUGCGUCCGAGCGCACUAUUGAACGUAAACAGGAAGACACUAGGCUAGAGAAAAUAACAGUGCAUCAGUGAUUGUUACCAUUGUAAAGAGUCUGAAUGUUUGGAAACUACGAAGCCAGCUUUUGUGCUGCCUGAAGGUUGUAGAAGAGACCUAGAGCGAACCGGGGAAGGCUGUCGUUGGUCCACAUUCGGGUGUUUCGCCUCAGGUUUUUCGUCUGAGGUUUCAAGUUUUGGGUUUCGAGUCUGAGGUUCCAGAUUCCAGACUUGGUGUUACAUUGUGACGUUGUGAGUUUUGGUACUACUCUGAACUUUGAUUCUUCAUCGUGGGUGAACAUUCGUCGUGGCUAGAAGAUACUUAUGUUACCUUGAACAGUUCAUAUGUAGUGAUUGAUCCUCUUACAGAAUCUUUGUCUUGGAGUGAAAUAUGGUGAGCACAAUACUACAAGGUGGUUAUCAUUGUAUUUGAACUAAUAAUUCAGUAGUUAAUGAAACUAGACUAUGAUUAAGUUAUUUCUCAUAUCAUACUAUAUGUACUGUAUUCAUGUAUCAUUACCAUUAGUCAUAUGUAAAUUUCAUUGUAUAAAUCUCAUUGAAUUAAAUUUGUAGUUUUAUUUAAAUCAUCA